UAACGCCCAAGUUUUUGUUAUUUAAAAAUCUUUACUUUUAGGGUUUAUUCGAUGAAAAUAUUAAUAAUUUAAUACAAAAAAAAAACAAAUUUUUCGAUUUCCUGUCUUUUUUUUUUAAAUUAUAUGGUGUUACCAUAAUAUGGUAACGCUGGGCGCUUAAGGAAUUUUUAGGAUCGUUGAAACCAAAAUUUUUUAUUUUUUUUAAAUAUUUAUUUGAGAAUAUUUUCAUCGUCUCGUGUGGUAUCCUAUAAAACAAUUAACACACAAACCAACGUUGCAUUUUUUACACAUUGCUCGUCCAGAUGUUGUACAUCUGUCUCCAGGACAUCGCCUUCUACUGCUUGAUGUAACAAAUGGUCGAAGCGAUCAAAACGAAGAUCUGGCAAGUUCUGUCUAUGUAGACUAGGUCUUCCUGUAUAUAAGGGACGACUUCCAUAUCUUGCGAGAAGAACUUGGGCCAAUUCUCUCCUAAACGAUAGCAAGGAUAUAUUUUUUUUAUUUUUUUUUUUUAUAUAAAUGCCAUGAAUUAUAUGGACUGCAACAUCCAACAACCAUGUUACAAUUUGCCAGUACCAUUUUUUACUGCCAAUUGCUACUCGGUAGGUUGAAACACCUUGACCCAUCCAGUCGGUACCCAUCAUAUUUUGUUGUAUUCAGCAAUAUAGUGAGGCCGACUUAAUUGAAUGUGGCCUUUUUCUUCAUGAGAAAAUCUUUUUACCGUGCCCAAUGCUGAACCAUCACAACGCGUAGAUGCUAUUGUAACAACAGAGUUAUCUUUCCAUCGCACCAGUAACACUAUCGCUUCUGCUAACAAAAAUCCACGACUGAAAAAAAAAUAAGAUUAUGACUCCGUAAGCGCCCACCGCAACCAUAUGGUAACGGCGUACUUUGACUAUUCCUACCGAAUUCGCUACAUUUAAUUGUUGAUAAAAUACAACAAUUUAUAAUAAGUUGGGGUAUAAUAAACUUAAUUUUUUUUAAAUAUGCAAAUAUAGUUAGGUACUAGAAGAUUAUCAAAAAUUGCUUACGCAAAACGGACGUCCAUCUUUUUCUAUAAAUUUAAACCACACUGUCAUAUGAUUAUCUCUCGACGGUUGAGAAAAGGCUAAAAUACGAAUCCGUUACGUUUUAUAGGUGCCUGAAGUAUUCCUAGAAACGAUAGUUCUCAAAAUAUGUGGCUGACUAAUUCCAUGGGCAUACCGCAGAAUUUUUAAAAAUCAUAUGUUUUACGUUACCAUAUGGUAACGCUGGGCGCUAAUGGGUUAAAUAUUAUGUAAUGUCUCGAAUUUUUUACACACCUUUCAAAUCUAAUACCAAACAUCUUUAAGUUAAGCGAUUAAGGCCAGGUCUUUUCACCUCCGAAUAAAUAUGCUCUUAUCUGGCAGUUAGCUAUCUGGAGGAUAAAUAUUUAUUCGCCAGAUAAAAUGUACCCGUCUUUUCACGUCAAUUUAUGUUCCAGUUAGUUAUCCGGUCGAUAAGCUUAAAAGUAAGUUUGGAUUCCGAACACACCUGACUUUUAUGUUUAUUUUUAUAAUUUCAGCUUUAACUUAACCUAACAUAAUUAGAUUCAAAGAUGAUUUUAUCGAUUUUAUUUCCAUUUUGGAAGAAGGAAUGAAGGAAAUAAAGAAAACAUUGAUUAUGCUGAAAUAGUUUACUGGAGAGCUUGAACAAGAGAUAUGACAAACACCUAGAAGAUGGAAUCCUGUGUUCUCAAAGAAAAAGCUAGUUCCAGAAAUAAGCUACCAAUAAUAAACUAUAGAGAAUGUAUUACAAGAAAGAACAACGCUAAUACUCAACAUAGCUCAAUUGCUUCAGAUAGAAAAAGAGGAGGAAAGGGCAGAAGACAAGCGUGCCAGAGAAAAUUAAAGGGCAGAAGAGACACAAAAAUUCAUUGAUUUAUUAAAUUUAAUAAUUAAAUUAUACAAAGGACAAUUAAAUAAAGAAUAAAAAAUUA